CGGACACGCUGGCGGCGUGGAUUAGGCAUGCAAGUCGGACGGUAGAGCUUUAUCGUAAGAUAGAGUUUGAGAGUGGCGAACGGGUGAGUAACACGUAGGAAUCUACCCUUAAGACGGGGACAACCCAGGGAAACUUGGGCUAAUACCGGAUGAGAGUGCGAGAGAUUGCAUUUAAAAGGAUGGCGAAAGUUGUCGCUUAGGGAUGAGCCUGCGGUCUAUUAGUUAGUUGGUGAGGUAAGAGCUCACCAAGGCGAUGAUAGAUAGGCGGCCUUAACGGGUGGUCGCCCACACUGGGAUUGAGAUACGGCCCAGACUCCUACGGGAGGCAGCAGUGGGGAAUAUUGCGCAAUGGAGGAAACUCUGACGCAGCAACGCCGCGUGAAGGAUGAAGGUUUUCGGAUUGUAAACUUCUUUGAUCGGGGACGAAAUAGACGGUACCCGAGGAACAAGCCACGGCUAACUACGUG
rnacentral:rRNA from 1 species